AUGGAUGCACAUGCUCCUCGUUCGGCCUCAACGACAUGGAAGGCCAUCAUUGUUGGCCGAGCUGUGCUAGAACGAGGAUUGAUCAAAAGAGUUGGGAAUGGUGAGUCCAUCUCCGUUUGGACCGGCAGGUGGAUACCCAACACGGAUACUCUCAAACCCAGGGGGCGCAUUGGUACUGAUCCAAUUGACCGCGUUUCUGAUUUGUUCGAUCAUGACAGUGGUACCUGGGAUGUUGAGUUGAUACGGAGGAAUUUUCUAGCACCAGAUGCGGAUGCCAUUUUGAACAUACCCUUGAGAGCUUCUGGUGGAGAGGAUUUCCUUGCUUGGGACUUGGAGAAGUCCGGUGUCUACUCUGUUAAAAUGGCCCAUCGUGCUCUAGUGACUCAUAACGAGCGUUUAGCUCUAGAGGAAGGAACGAUAGGGGAUCUUUCAUUGUCAGAUAAACACUUAUGGACUGCCUUAUGGAAAGUGAAGGUUAUUCCUAGAGUACGUGUAUUCGGUGGCGAGUGCUUCAUGGUAUUCUCCUUGACUAUGCUACUCUACAGUAUCGUCAUAUUGGGACGGCGGCGAGAUGUGAUUUAUGCAAGGCUGUAG
rnacentral:rRNA from 1 species